rfam:Papillibacter cinnamivorans DSM 12816 genome assembly, contig: EJ70DRAFT_scaffold00003.3
UACCGAUAAUGGCAAACCUGCCGAAAGACAGGGACGCAAAGCCAAGGGUCUAAGGUCCAAACGGACUAUGACAGCCGGUUGCCGAA